rnacentral:rRNA from 1 species
UACGUAGGGCGCAAGCGUUGUCCGGAAUUAUUGGGCGUAAAGAGCUCGUAGGCGGCCUGUUGCGUCCGCUGUGAAAUCCCGGGGCUUAACCCCGGGCGUGCAGUGGAUACGGGCAGGCUGGAGGCAGGCAGGGGAGAACGGAAUUCCCGGUGUAGCGGUGAAAUGCGCAGAUAUCAGGAGGAACACCGGUGGCGAAGGCGGUUCUCUGGGCCUUACCUGACACUGAGGAGCGAAAGCGUGGGGAGCGAACAGG